UAGUGUUAUUCGUGAUGACUGGGCGUAGGGUACGUAGGCGGAUAGCCAAAAAUAUAGUUAAAGACUGAGGUAGAACCUCUUUGCGCUAUAUUCACUAGCUAUCUUGAGUUUUAGGGGCGAUAGUGAAUCCUUUAAGUAAGGGUAAAAUUGUUGAUAUUAGGAGACGUUCGAAGGCGAAAGCAAUGAUCGACUUAAAUCUGACGCUAGGUACUAAAGCGUGGGUAUGAAAAGGAUUAGAGACCUUGUAGUCCACGCCGUAAACUAUGAGUGUUCAACGUUCUUUUGUGCUAGGGUGUGCUUUAUAUUCAUGCCAUAAUACACAAAAGGGGGUUUGAAGCUAACGCGUGAAACACCGCCUGGGGAAUGUGGCCGCAAGGUUAAACUCAAAGGAAUUGACGGAGACGUGUACAAGGGGUGGAGAUGUGGUUUAAUUCGAG
rnacentral:rRNA from 1 species